ensembl:lncRNA
CAGGUAUCUGAAUGGUCCCCUCCACACUGACAGAGUCUCCCCUUCACUGUGUGAGCCUUCCCUGAGCUUCUCUUUAGGGUAGGGCUCCUGGUCCACUGGAACACCUGCUUUUUCUCAAGGUUCAAGGUCUUAUUUCAGACACUGUGCUGGCCCGCGUCUACUUUCCUCCAGCCCUCAUUCAGUUCUUAAGACGUACGCGUGAGGUAAAACACAAAGGACCGACAAUCCCAAGAGUCAGCAAGGAAGCAGGGCAACUGGACCUCUCAGUCCCUGACGCUGGUAUACACGGGAGCCACCACCUUAGAGUUCGGAGGCAGCGUCCAGCUGUCGCUCUGCCUCCUCCAACUGGGGCAAAGCCGUAGAAGCGCAUCACGGCAUCGGAUA